rnacentral:rRNA from 1 species
UACAGAGGUCCCGAGCGUUGUUCGGAUUCAUUGGGCGUAAAGGGUGCGUAGGCGGCGGGGCAAGUCUGAUGUGAAAUCCCGGGGCUCAACCCCGGAACUGCAUUGGAUACUGCCUUGCUAGAGUACUGGAGAGGGAUGCAGAAUUCCAGGUGUAGCGGUGAAAUGCGUAGAUAUCUGGAGGAAUACCGGUGGCGAAGGCGGCAUCCUGGACCGACAUUGACGCUGAGGAGCGAAAGCUAGGGGAGCAAACGGG